AUGGACCCGGCCGAGGCGGUGCUGCAGGAGAAAGCACUCAAGUUUAUGCAUUGAAGUUGACUGCUACAGACUUACAACAGCUGCGCCAGAUUCUGCUUAAACCAAGAAACAGUAUGUCCAGCAAGCACUUCUUUGAAGACUGAAAAUUGUGUGGCCAAAACAAAACUUGCCAAUGGCACUUCAAGUAUGAUUGUGCCCAAGCAACGGAAACUGUCUGCAAGCUAUGAAAAGGAAAAGGAACUGUGUGUCAAGUAUUUUGAGCAGUGGUCAGAGUCUGAUCAAGUGGAAUUUGUGGAACAUCUUAUAUCCCAAAUGUGUCAUUACCAACAUGGGCACAUAAACUCCUAUCGUAAACCUAUGUUGCAGAGGGAUUUCAUAACUACUCUGCCAGCUCGGGGUUUGGAUCAUAUUGCUGAGAACAUUUUGUCAUAUCUGGAUGCCAAAUCACUAUGUGCUGCUGAACUAGUGUGCAAGGAAUGGUACCGAGUGACAUCUGAUGGCAUGUAUGGAAGAAGCUCAUCGAGAGAAUGGUCAGGACAGAUUCUUUGUGGAGAGGCCUGGCAGAACGAAGAGGGUGGGGACAGUAUUUAUUCAAAAACAAACCUCCUAAUGGGAAUGCUCCUCCCAACUCUUUUUAUAGAGCACUUUAUCCUAAAAUUAUACAAGACAUUGAGACAAUAGAAUCUAAUUGGAGAUGUGGAAGACGUAGUUUACAAAGAAUCCACUGCCGAAGUGAAACAAGCAAAGGAGUUUACUGUUUACGGUAUGAUGAUCAGAAAAUAGUAAGCGGCCUUCGAGACAACACAAUCAAGAUAUGGGAUAAAAGCACAUUGGAAUGCAAGCGAAUUCUCACAGGACUCACAGGUUCUGUCCUAUGUCUCCAGUAUGACGAAAGAGUGAUCAUAACUGGAUCAUCAGAUUCCACGGUCAGAGUGUGGGAUGUAAAUACAGGUGAAAUGCUAAAUACAUUGAUUCACCACUGUGAAGCAGUUCUGCACUUGCGUUUCAAUAAUGGCAUGAUGGUGACCUGCUCCAAAGAUCGUUCCAUUGCUGUGUGGGAUAUGGCCUCCCCAACAGAUAUUACUCUUCGGAGGGUACUGGUUGGACACCGAGCGGCUGUCAAUGUUGUAGACUUUGAUGACAAGUAUAUCGUUUCUGCAUCUGGGGAUAGAACUAUAAAGGUAUAGAACAUAAAUACUUGUGAAUUUGUAAGGACCUUAAAUGGACACAAACGAGGCAUUGCCUGUUUGCAGUACAGAGACAGGCUUGUAGUGAGUGGCUCUUUUGACAACACUAUCAGAUUAUGGGACAUAGAAUGUGGUGCAUGUUUGCGAGUAUUAGAAGGCCACGAGGAAUUGGUUCAUUGUAUUCGAUUUGAUAACAAGAGGAUAGUCAGUGGGGCUUAUGAUGGGAAAAUUAAAGUAUGGGAUCUUGUGGCUGCUUUGGACCCUCGUGCUCCUGCAGGGACACUCUGUCUAUGGACCCUUGUGGAGCAUUCUGGAAGAGUUUUCCGACUCCAGUUUGAUGAAUUCCAGAUUGUCAGUAGUUCACAUGAUGACACAAUUCUCAUCUGGGACUUCCUAAAUGAUCCAGCUGCACAAGCAGAACCUCCCCGCUCCCCUUCCCGAACAUACACCUAUAUCUCCAGAUAAAUAACCAUACACUGACCUCAUACUUGCCCAGGACUCAUCGAAGUUGCAGUAUUUAACAUAUCUGCCAACACCAGGACGAGUAACAACAGUAACAACCAAACAACUACCCGGUUUCCCUGGACUAUCCUAGGAGCAGGGCGUUGAGACUCCUGUUGGGACACAGUUGGUCUGUAGUCGGCCCAGGAUGGUCUACUCAGUACGGCUGACUGCUUUAGUGCUGCUAUCAGAAGAUGUCUUCUAUCUUUCAUGAAUGAUUGGAACUUUUAAACCUCACCUCCCCUCCUCUUUUCCCCUGUGCACCUAUUUUUCCCUAUUGGUUCCAGAGAAAGAUGACUUAUAAAUAUAUUUAGUGUUUUGC